rnacentral:rRNA from 1 species
GUGCCAGCCGCCGCGGUAAUACGAGAGGCCCAAACGUUAUUCGGAAUUACUGGGCUUAAAGAGUUCGUAGGCGGCGCAGAAAGUAGGGUGUGAAAUCCCUCGGCUCAACCGAGGAAUUGCGCUCUAAACUACUGUGCUCGAGGGACCUAGAGGUAAGCGGAACUGAUGGUGGAGCGGUGAAAUGCGUUGAUAUCAUCAGGAACACCGGAGGCGAAGGCGGCUUACUGGGGGUCUUCUGACGCUGAGGAACGAAAGCCAGGGGAGCGAACGGGAUUAGAUACCCCUGUAGUCC